rnacentral:rRNA from 1 species
AGCAGCCGCGGUAAUUCCAGCUCCAAUAGCGUAUAUUAAAGUUGUUGCAGUUAAAAGCUCGUAGCUGAAUUUCGGGAUUGACACAUCGGUCGUGCCUUAAGGGGUAUGAACUGGUGUAGUCAAUUUCUCACCAUUCUGGAGAACCGCGGAUGCCCUUAAUUGGGUGUCACGGGGGAAACCAGGACCUUUACUUGAAAAAUUAGAGUGUUUAAAGCAGGCAUUUUGCUUGAAUACAUUAGCAUGGAAUAAUAAAAUAGGACGGCAUGAUUCUAUUUUGUUGGUUUCUAGGAUCACCGCAAUGAUUAAUAGGGAUAGUUGGGGGCAUUAGUAUUCAAUUGUCAGAGGUGAAAAUUCUUGGAUUUAUUGAAGACUAACUACUGCGAAAAGCAUUUGCCAAGGAUGUUUUCAUUAAUCAAGAACGAAAAGUUAGGGGGAUCGAAGACGAUCAGAUACCGUCGUAGUCUUAACCAUAAAACU